GUGGGGAAUCUUGCGCAAUGGGCGAAAGCCUGACGCAGCCAUGCCGCGUGAAUGAUGAAGGUCUUAGGAUUGUAAAAUUCUUUCACCGGGGACGAUAAUGACGGUACCCGGAGAAGAAGCCCCGGCUAACUACGUGCCAGCAGCCGCGGUAAUACGUAGGUGGCGAGCGUUGUCCGGAAUUACUGGGUGUAAAGGGAGUGUAGGCGGGGCUUCAAGUCCGUUGUGAAACCGAUCGGCUCAACUGAUCGUUGCGGCGGAAACUGGAGCUCUGGAGUGAGGUAGAGGCAGGCGGAAUUCCCAGUGUAGCGGUGAAAUGCGUAGAUAUUGGGAGGAACACCAGUGGCGAAGGCGGCCUGCUGGGCCUUAACUGACGCUGAGGCUCGAAAGUGUGGGGAGCAAACAGGAUUAGAUACCCCUGUAGUCC
rnacentral:rRNA from 1 species